UAAUACAGAGGGUGCAAGCGUUAAUCGGAGUUACUGGGCGUAAAGGGCGCGUAGGCGGUUUGGUAAGUUAGCUGUGAAAUCCCUGGGCUUAACCUAGGAACUGCAGCUGAUACUGUCGAACUGGAGUACUGUAGAGGGUAGUGGAAUUUCCGGUGUAGCGGUGAAAUGCGUAGAGAUCGGAAGGAACACCAGUGGCGAAGGCGGCUACCUGGACAGAUACUGACGCUGAGGCGCGAGAGCGUGGGGAGCAAACAGGAUUAGAUACCCUGGUAGUCCACGCCGUAAACGAUGAAGACUAGAUGUUGGUAGGCUUGACCUAUUAGUAUCGAAGCUAACGCGAUAAGUCUUCCGCCUGGGGAGUACGGUCGCAAGAUUA
rnacentral:rRNA from 1 species